GUGGGGAAUAUUCCGCAAUGGACGAAAGUCUGACGGAGCAACGCCGCGUGAGUGAUGAAGGUUUUCGGACUGUAAAGCUCUGUUGUUUAGGACGAAAGUGCCUGUUGCGAAUAGUUACAGGUAUUGACGGUACUGAACGAGGAAGCCACGGCUAACUACGUGCCAGCAGCCGCGGUAAUACGUAGGUGGCAAGCGUUGUCCGGAAUUAUUGGGCGUAAAGAGCAUGUAGGCGGGAAUCUAAGUCUGUUGUGAAAAUGCGGGGCUCAACCCCGUAUUGCGAUGGAAACUGGGUUGCUUGAGUGCAGGAGAGGAAAGGGGAAUUCCCAGUGUAGCGGUGAAAUGCGUAGAUAUUGGGAGGAACACCAGUGGCGAAGGCGCCUUUCUGGACUGUGUCUGACGCUGAGAUGCGAAAGCCAGGGUAGCGAACGGGAUUAGAAACCCGAGUAGUCC
rnacentral:rRNA from 1 species